rnacentral:rRNA from 1 species
UACGUAGGGUGCGAGCGUUAAUCGGAAUUACUGGGCGUAAAGUGUGCGCAGGCGGCAGAGCAAGUCGCGUGUGAAAGCCCCCGGCUCAACUGGGGAGGGUCACGCGAUACUGAUCGACUCGAAGGCAGGAGAGGGAAGUGGAAUUCCCGGUGUAGUGGUGAAAUGCGUAGAUAUCGGGAGGAACACCAGUGGCGAAGGCGACUCCUGGCCUGUU